CUGAGCCCCCGGGUCCGUUGGUUGCCAGUGGCCCACUCUGAUCUGCGGCCCCCGGUUGCCGCCAGCCCCUCACGGCCCGCACAGAAAUUUUUCUACCGUUUUUCAGCUUGCAGGCUCUCCUGAAAGUGCUCACAAGGCAAAUCGCCAUAGAAAGCAAGUUCAAGUGGCCUUUUAAAGUAGCCCAACUAAGCGAAUGGCUUUGUCUCCGAAGACACAGGGACCUUGGGGAGGCAGUCAGGGACACACCCUGGAAUGUUUACACUGCUCUGGGUCUGCUUUUCUAGAGAUUUUUGUUUUGCAGAUUCUGUUUUAUGCCUGGUUAGGUCUGAGCUUCAGACUUUCUGAACCGGAGCAGGAAAAAAAAUAAGAGCUUUCCUCCAAACCCCAAGACCAAA
rnacentral:lncRNA from 1 species